rnacentral:lncRNA from 1 species
UCCUUUCAGAUUUUGAGUGAUUCUCACACCUUCGCGCACAAAUAUAGCUGCAGGUAUGCUUUCAAUUUGCACAUAUCUUUUUUCUACUUUUUCCUUCGUUCUUUUUUCAUUUUGGGUUUCUUCUAGGUUCUCUUCAUCAUUGUUAGUUUCGAUUCUGAAGUUCAGUGAUUGUUGUAGGUUCUUUUCCCAUGUUUUGCCUCUGAUUUUCCCAGAUUGUUUUUCUCUUCUCUUAAUUUCUGCCCUAUCUUCUUUUGGGUUCUCUAUAUGAUUUUUAACUUUGCAAUCUUAUGGCAAGUAUGUGUUAAAUCAAGUGGUAAAACUGUAUUUUUAAACUCUAAAGCAUGCUGAGUAUUGGACUUCUGUGGUUUUCUGUGUUCUAUCAGUACUUUUUUAUUUUGCAAUUUCAUGGCUGAUGUAUCCUAAAUCGAAGGCUACGACUCUUGUAGUUGCUAAAUCGGAGGCUGAUACUCAACAAAUCUUAAUUUGGGAUUUUUUUAUUUAUUUAUGGAAUUGUUUGCAGCUCAAAUUUUAUUUUGGCGAAGAUGAAUUGAAAUCAAGAAAACAAAUUCAGUGUCUUUGGACGAAAAAUAUUUUUUGUGUGACACUGUGUGGUUGUCUUUGUGGAUGUAAUUAGAGAGGGGAGCAAAGUUCACGGUGCUUGAAAACAAAGCAUAUAUUUUGAAAUUGUUUCCUACAUCUGUAUAAAAAAUAGUUUUCUUUAGUGUUAUUCGGUUUUCUUUAACUUGGUACCACAAAACUACAUUCUCUGUAUAAAAAAUAGUUUUCUUUAGUGUUAUUCGGGUUUCUUUAACUUGGUACCACAAAACUACAUUCUCUGUAUAACUAAAUUUGUAAAGGAUAGGAUGAGCUGGCUGGAUCCUUUAUUCUUUUCUCUGCAUAAGACUACAUCUGCAAUUAAUACAUGGAUCUAUUUGACCAAUAAGGGAGAUUUUGUAGUACUAUCAAUACAGAAAGAGGGAAAAAGAAGAAAGAAAUGGCAAUUUUCAUGUUAUAACUUUAUAUCUUUGUUCUCUAUUUUGGUUGGAGUUAUCUAUAAAAAAAAAUGGCAAUUUUCAUGUUCUAACUUUAUAUCUUUGUUCUCUAUUUUGGUUGGAGUUAUCAAUUAUUGAUACUAUUUUUUCCCCAGUUCAUUCUCAAAUCAUGCAUUUGGUUUUGACAAUAGGCUAAUGUCUUUUCACAUUAUCAAAAUAUUUUAUCAGAUUUAGUUCAACUGAUUAAGUUUCUUUCUUAAAUUGAUCAAUGUAUGUUAUUGGUCGUCCUGUAGUUUCGUGGUAAGAAAGCAUAUAAUUCACCUCAAGAAAAUAUUAGUGUUGUUGAUAAGAAAUUUGAGAGUUCAGACCUUAAAUUUGAUAGUUUCUUUGUGUUGUAUGAUCCCGGAUCAAAUGGAGUCUAACUGCUUAACACGGGUUCCUUCUUUACGGAGGGAAUCUUUACAUUUAUACAGCCUGAUCUCUUGAAGCCUGUUGCUGGAGCUAAAAAAAUUAGAAGCGAAUCUAAGCAGGAUAUAAAUGUUAACACGUGACUUUGGGGUGAAAUUGGUUGGCUGGUACUCUCUAAUCACCUCUAUUAAAUCCGCUUAGAUUUGUUUGAAUUGGGAGAUAAUAGUCCUGGUUGAUCCAGUUAAGAUGAGAUACAUUAGUCCUUUGGGAUCUCAAGUCAGACUGAUUUUAGUUUGAAUAUGACUUGAACCUUCAAGGAUAAAGAUUCUCGAUUUUAGUUUGCUAAUGACACUGAUCUGGAUGUUAGGCUUUGUUAAGAAGAAAAUUCUAGGUAUAGCCUCACAGUACUUAAUAAAGUUUGGAGUUCUUCACUUCCUCAUUUUUGCAUUACGUUGUUGUAAUUGUCUAUUCAUGCGAUUUCAUUGUAUUUCAUAGUGUGGUAAGUGCUAUUCUUCUACAUCGUACCUUCUUUUAUUGCGAAGGGUUAUGUUGAGGUUAUGAAUAUAUUUCUUAAUUUCGUUUGUUCCAAUUGUAUUUAAUCAAAAUGUAAGUUUAAGUUCUAACCAUAAUAUUUCUUAGCAAACUGCUAGCAAAAAAUACCAGUUGUGAAUAUAUUUCUUAAUUUCAUUUGUUCCAAUUCUAUUUGAUCUAAAUGUAAAUUUAAGUUCUAACCAUAAUAUUUAUGGUAAGGACAAUAAAUAUAAAGUUGUUUAAGAGAAAAUGUAGUAAUUCGUGCGUGUUGAAAAAUAGUGGUGAAGUUAUGAAAUUACUGAGCCCUUUAAAUGUUGAUACUACUAUAUGAAUGCUAGGUAAGUUUGCGCCAUCGGGUUUGAACCUGAAUGUUCGUUUUUUUUUUUUGGUUGUUGUUGUAAUAUGCAAGAUUGCUUUGAAGUGACUGUAUGAAGAAAAUUUGAUGAGUGUCCUUUUGUUUGCUGUUAUCAUGUUCUGUCUCUAAAGUUACCUUACAUUUGUAACAGAUACUUCAAAUAGCCGAGCUCAGUACGUUUAAAAUUGGACUAUUAAAAUUUGCAGGUAAUAUCAUGUAAGUUUAUUUUUCUUCAUUUGGAUUUCAAUUCUCUUUCUUUUCGAUUUUUCACCUUAAACUUUCUGUACUGGGUUGAUGCCGUUAUGUCUUCUUAUCUAUGAAGGUUUGUGUGUGACUGGUAAUUCUUGAUUUUGAGGAUAAGUAGAGUCACUUCUCAAUGAGUAUUAGUUCAAGGUCUCCUUAUAUAUGAUUAAGAUAAUGAAUGUCUUUCAUUUGGAUUUCAAUUCUCUUUCUUUUCGAUUUUUCGCCAUAAACUUUAUGUACUGGGUUGAUGCCGUUAUGUCUUCUUAUCUAUGAAGGUUUGUGUGUGACUGGUAAUUCUUGAUUUUGAGGAUAAGUAGAGUCACUUCUCAAUGAGUAUUAGUUCAAGAUCUCCUUAUAUAUGACUAAGAUAAUGAAUGUCUUUCUUGUGAAAAGUAUUACUACAAUAAGAUGUGAAAACUAGAGGUAACUAUAUAUUUGUGCUACAACUUUAAACUAACAGAUGUAUUCAUAGUCUUUGCCUCUUUGGUUUCAACAUUUUUUUGAUAAGUCUAUGACAGAUGCAAUUCAGGCAUAUGUAGGGCCUAAAGCUAAAGUUUGAUAUGUCGCCUCUAUUUGUUCUUUGCUUUUUUUCCUCUGUUGUGCAUGACACAAUUUAUUCUCUUUGUUACUGCAGUUCUUGCGAUUUGUUGUGAUUGUUUCUACUUCUGCCAUACAUUAGCGCUUGAAUCAGAAGGUAAAUUUUCUAAUCCCAUCAUUUAUUUAUAGGUAUUGUAAGUUUUUGCUUGGGUUCUUUUAAAAAAUAUAAACAUACAUACAUGUUAGCCAAUAUUGAAAAUACAUUCAGUAAUGUAAAUAUAAAUAUGUACGUGACAUUUCUCAUUCAGGAAGUAGACGAAUGAAAUGUCGAGUACAAAUCAUAAAAAUGAAAACUCCGAAAAAAUACAUACUGACAAGAAGACUAGGCGACGCGAAUCAUAUAGAAUGAUGCAAGCCGAUAAAAAAGAGGCUCUCAUAGCAUGAGCAAGAGCAAAUAAAGCUGAAACAAGCUACCGACAACAUCCUGCUUGCUCAUUAAUUAAUAGCUCCACUAACGCAUCAUCCCCUACGAGUGCUAAUAUUUCAGGCGAGCAGUGUCUUCCUUCCUUUUAUGGGACAUUCAAUAUACGAAACAACUUAGAGAGCUAGACCGUCAUUUCUUGAUGGUAUGCACUUAUAAAUACAUAUAUGCGUUUAUAGCUAUCAACAUGAUAUACUUACACUUGCUAUUGUUAUAUGCCAGGAUCAACAUCUAAUACAAAUUAUGAACAAUAUAAUGAAGAAUCAAUAACAAUCCAAGCAUCAACUGAUUAUGUUAUGUUAAAGACUGUUCCCAAAUGUAAAUUUUGCGGAGUCAAAAAAUUUGAAUACGAGCCACUCCCAUUCUGUUGUCGCAAAGACACUGUUAACCUAAUUUCACAUCAAGUACCAAGAGAGUUAAGAAACCUAUAUCUAGGAAAUACUGAAAAAUCAAAGCAUUUUUGAACCUACAUAAGAACAUACAAUAAUAUAUUUGCGUUCACGUCCCUGGGAGUGACCUAUGACAAAGAACUGGCAAAGAGGAAUAAAGGUAUUUACAGAUUUCAAGUUCAAGGACAAAUGUAUCAUUUCAUAAAUGACUUGAUACCAAGUAAUGAAAAAGGAAAAAAUCUACAAUUAUAUUUCUUUGAUAGUGAAAAUGAAGCGAGCAAUCGAAUGACAUGUUCUGAUACAUUGACCUAUGACAAAGAACUGGCAAAGAGGAAUAAAGGUAUUUACAGAUUUUGAGUUCAAGGACAAAUGUAUCAUUUCAUAAAUGACUUGAUACCAAGUAAUGAAAAAGGAAAAAAUCUACAAUUAUAUUUCUUUGAUAGUGAAAAUGAAGUGAGCAAUCGAAUGGCAUGUUCUGAUACAUUGAACUACUGUACUAUGAAAAAUUUAAUGAAAAUAUUAAAAACCAAAAACCAAUCCUUACUCUACGUUUUUGAAAUCCUUAAUAAAUAUCCCACAAUUAUCAGAUUUCUACAUUGCGCUCAAGUGUAAUGCUGGUCUAGACCAACAAAUAUACAACUUACCAACUACGUCAGAAGUGGCAGGGAUAUGGGUAGAACAAGAUACCAAUAAUUGUAUCCCUACGCCACAUAUCCGAAUAUUCCUACGCCACAUAUCCGAAUAUAUACAAAAAGUGAUAGAAGCCAACUGUAAACUAUUACAAAACAGUUCUACAACAACUAUUUCCGAUGAGCAUGCGGAAAAAAUAUUGCUCCUCACUUCGGAAGAGGUUUAUGAUAUCUGUAAUGUCAAGGUAUAUUCCGUUACAUGAAUUACAUCAUCAUAUAACAAGCUAUUAAUUCUGACUCCCGCUAUCUCAUCACUAUUCAUUAUGAUAUGAAGCACAUCAUAGAAUGUGUGAUUAGUUCUACCCUCCAUUCCAACAUAGACCAAUAGGAUUCAACGAUAUCCUUCAACCAAAAUCUUCAGUGUGGUGCAAAUAAACAAAACCACACUUUGGUUGUAGCUAUUGAUAAAGCUAAUGGAAUGUAGCAUCUUAUCCAUACUAUUUACAUUUUGUUUGCAAACAAUCUUGUUUCAUUCCGAGUAGAGAAACAAGAGCACCCACACACAACCAGCAAAGACAAUGCUUCCUACAACAAAUGUAAUGUGGAAAUGAAUAUUUCCCCUCCGAAAAACAGCUGAGAGGUAUUUGAAAUUUCUGUUCCUUCUAAAUUUAAUAUGAGAUUCAACUUUGUAGAAAAGACAGACAACUUAAACUACUAUCAUUUGUUAGCACUUUUGCCACUGAAACAACUUUUGCUACUAUUUUGGGAUGCAAGUGAAGCCACAUCUUGCUGUUGCUUUUGAAUGCGGUUAAGCUCACUUUUGCGACUGCUUUCUGGAUGUUCCUCUACUCGGAAUAUGUCGGCGACAUGAGGUUAGUGUACUUGAUUACAAAUCCAGAUUUUUUCAAAAUCCUUCAUACCAACCGAUAUAAAGCUACUCCAGUUUUUUCAUAUUAGUUUGGGAGAAAGAAAAAAAAAGCACUUUGUAUGUUAACCAACUCCAAUUUUUUGUUAAGCCUCUUCCCGCUCUUUCUUGGUCUUUGUUGCUUUUUAAUGAAAACUAUCCCUCAGAAGGUUUAAACUGGCAUUAAAGAACCUCUUAUAUUUAUUUUUUUGAUAUGACACUUAAAAAGAAAUGCUUAACUAAAUUCUUAAAGCACUUUUUAAACUAUAAUUGUGUGUGGAGAAUACAUGUGUUUCUGUGCUUUAUUAGGUUUCUUGCUUAAAUGUUUGUUAUUGUUCUCUAAGCUGCUAAUUUUAGCGAUGUUAUGUUAAUACGUUUCGUUCUUUGAAGUAAUUUUGAACUGAAGAGCUCUCUGUUUAUUCCUUUAUUGUAGCUGAUUGUUAAUGGUAGUGUUCCUUUUAGAUUACUGAAUGGUUAUUAAGGUUAGUGUCAUAUGACUUAAAGUCGGCUUCUAGCCAUUUUAGUUCCGUCCUGUGUGAUCUUCGAUGUGGAACAAAUAUCCAUUUUAAAAUAUAAAGGCUCAGAUUUUAUUAAUGUAACAAUUUAUGUGAAUCUUAGAGUAAAGCUUUUCCCCCCACAAUUGAGGUUCUAACGUGGAAUUUCUGUCGAGAAUCAAAACCCAGUUGGUUAAAAUUAAAAGAUUUGAAACGUGGAUACACACUUUCCAUAAUAAAUGACAUCUCCUCCUUAGAGUGUAAAGCGAAGUAUUUUCAGUAAGAUCUGGGUGAAAAUGGGUAGAUUGAUACUGGUAUCUGCUUUUCUGAGACUAAAGAAGCUGUCUUUCAUUACUUUUAAUUUGAAUUUUUAUUUAUUCUCACCAGUGCAAUUAAAUUAAUAUAAGUUAAUCUUAGUGGACCACUAUUAGGUUUUACAUUAGUGAAUGGCAGCAGUAACUUUAGUAUCUUAAGUCUCUUGGCAAGGCAUACACUUGUUCGAUUUAAUUCUUGUAUUGUAUUAUGUGGAAACUAAAAGAAGCUGCUGCAAAUGGAGCUGUUUAUUCUAAACAAAAUCAUGAUCAUGACCUAUUGCAGCUUCAUGACUAAAGUCUUAGAGAUUAGCAGAAAAUAGUGGACAGUCAAACAACUAUACAACAGACUGUUUCACUACCUACUACUGGACCUAUAGAGUUCUUAUGCUUGAUUGUGUUUGUACAUUUAGUAGCCAAAUUUUCCUGUUAGUGGCAAAAAAUCCAGCCCCACCUUGAACGAGACAUUUUUUGGCCUGGUAUAUCCAACUGAAAACUAUAAAGUGUGAAUAAUACGUAACUCUUGAUUUGCCUUGACAUAUCUGCGUAAAAUGGGUAUUGCAUGAUGUGGCUGCUUCAUAUUGAUUUUUCAAGAUACACCAAAAACUUACUUAGAUGGGUGUAGCCCACUAUGUUGUGCGGACUCUCCGAAAAUACUAUCGCAUCCAUGUCGGAUCCUCCAAAAAUAAUAUCUUUAUCUGUUAUAUUUUACCAAUAUUCAUAUUUGUUUGAAUAUUAUCGCGUAUUUGCGUUCGAAGUUACAACUUGAAGUAUAACAGAGAAAAUUUUAUACAUAUAUAGUCAAAAAUAGAGUGAUAAAAAUGGAUUUUUUUCCCUGAAGUAUUUUGGCUCGUAUUCAACUCAACUGGUGAUGUGUUGUUGAAACUUUAAUUGCUAUAAUUGCUAUUUCAGAAUCUUUGUUAAGAGACUUGUGCUUUUUGCUAUUCGAGAGUGUAAUUAGCCGCUCAUAUUGCCUACUUUACUUCAGAAUAUUUUUUUAUCAGUGAAUUUGUGUUUCAAUUGUGAACAUAUGUUGUAGUCUACAAUUACUUUUUAUUACUGUAUAUGUUUCAGUUAUUUUCUGUUUCACAUAUGCUUUGACUUUUACUAAUUAUCAAACAAGUACUUUCUGUUGUUGCUUACCUGAAGUUUUGCCAUAUAUUUCAGCUUGUGUGCUUCUACAACAAGCAUGUGAUUUGGCCGUAUCUAUGUUAACUACUUUUGAGCUAACAUUAUCAUAUUUUACCUUAAAGAUAUGUAACCUUUUAAUUUAUAACAUAUUUAUUUGUUUGCAGAUAUUUUUGGUCAAGAACUACUAGAAAAAAGACCAGAGAAAAGACCAUUGCAUCGCAUUCAGCUAAUAUGUAAAUAGUUAUGUCAUAUAUGUUGUAACUACUGUGGCACUUUAAGCAUCCCUUAAUGUGAUGCUCUCAUGGAUGCAAACAAUGUAUAUUUUGCUGAAAAUAUAUAUAAAUAUCUAUCAGUUAACAUGAAAUAUUGUCUACUCGAUUACAUACUUACAUCAUUAAUUUCUACUAUAUUUGCAAUUAGAUAUUACACACAGUUAAAUAAUGUUGGACUCCUGCCUAGUAUAUUAGAAGAGCUGGUUUUCGACAUGGCUGCUUACCUGUCUUUUUAUUUUUGUUUAAGGGCAUUUUGGACCUUUAACAGAAUCUAAUAAAACGUAUCCUUUAAAUCCAAAGCCGAACGGCCACCACAUCAGUUCCUGCACCCAAUCACUUUAUAACGAAACACGUGUUUGUCAUUUUCAGUUAAGAUAUGUGUAAUUUGAGAUUGACACUAAGCGGUAAGCACGAACAGACUUACCAAUGCACUUUUGCCCUGAAAAGAGUACGUGUCUCUUCCAUUUGCUUCUAAAGCAUGCUGAUUCCACGUGUCUUUAAUCCAACAGAGACAAUAUAUUACCUUUACCUAAUAUUGCAACUUUUUCCUGCUUUCUCUGGUUCAUCGCUUUCUUGCUAUCUCUCUUGGGUCCAUUUCUAUUUUUUUUUGCUCUUUUAGCUUCUGCUGGAUUUUUUUUUGAGUAUCUGAUUUGCGUUUAUCGGCAUAUUUUGCAUGUCUUCUUCGACUUCUUUUUCUAGGUUUUGUGAGUUUGCUUCUGCAAUUUCCUUUUGGUGUAAUUGCUAUCUCUUUGGUGCGUAUUAUAUUUAUUUGUUAUCGCAAUAUUUUGUGACUGUAAAACUUUCGUAGGUCUAGCCUGAUACACAGAUCACUUUAUGUGUUUUUUUAUUUCUGAAUUAUUUUAUAUGUGGAAAUAUUAAUUUUGAAUGUCUGAUUUUGAUUCUGAACCGUAUCUAUAUGCUUUAAGGUUCCAAGAGAUUUCAAAAAUUAUGUUUCAGGUGGUGUGUUGUGAACCUGAACCAAGGUAUUGGACCAGCUGCACUUGAUAUUGGGCUAAAGAGAAGCUCCAGGCGCGUGAACUCUCCAAAAUAUUUCAAGGACUUUGUGGUCCCCAAAGCCAAUGGAUAAGAGAGGGCACCUGCAAUGCUGUUAUGCGAGGACAACUGUGAGCACUAUUGGAGAAAUAUUCCCAACAGACAUUAGUAUAAGUAGUAGUAGGUUUCCCUAAUUAGGCAGAAAAUAUGCCGAGUCUUUUUGUUUGUUUUUGCUAAGGAGCAGUCUGGAACCUUCCCCCUUCUUCAUUUUUCCUUUCUUUUAGUGUUUAUCUUACUUUUUGAGUCCAUUGUAAGUAGAGUUGCUAAGUUUGAGAUUGAAUCAAAGAAGUUUCCUGUUAUUGAUUCUGUUAUCUCUCUUAAAUUCAUAACAUUUGGUGCUUUCAUUGAUCCUUCCCGACCAAAUGGGCGACGGUGGUCACAAUACUC